rnacentral:rRNA from 1 species
AUGGCGCCCAAGGCCGAGAAGAAGCCGGCGGCGAAGAAGCCAGUGGAGGAGGAGCCCGCGGCGGAGAAGGCCGAGAAGACCCCGGCCGGGAAGAAGCCCAAGGCCGAGAAGCGGCUGCCGGCGGGCAAGUCGUCGGCGGCGGCCAAGGAGGGCGGCAAGGCGAAGAAGAAGGCCAAGAAGAGCGUGGAGACGUACAAGAUCUACAUCUUCAAGGUGCUGAAGCAGGUGCACCCCGACAUCGGCAUCUCCUCCAAGGCCAUGUCCAUCAUGAACUCCUUCAUCAACGACAUCUUCGAGAAGCUCGCCGGCGAGGCCGCUAAGCUGGCGAGGUACAACAAGAAGCCCACCAUCACGUCCCGGGAGAUCCAGACCUCCGUCCGCCUCGUCCUCCCCGGCGAGCUCGCCAAGCACGCCGUCUCCGAGGGCACCAAGGCUGUCACCAAGUUCACCUCCUCCUGA